GGGCCCGCACAAGCGGUGGAGUAUGUGGUUUAAUUCGAUGAUACGCGAGGAACCUUACCAGGGCUUAAAUGCAGAACGACAGAGGUGGAAACACCUCCUUCUUCGGACGGUCUGCAAGGUGCUGCAUGGUUGUCGUCAGCUCGUGCUGUGAAGUGUCGGGUUAAGUCCCAUAACGAGCGCAACCCCUAUUUCUAGUUGCCAGCGGUUCGGCCGGGGACUCUAGAGAAACUGCCAGCGUAAGCUGUGAGGAAGGUGGGGAUGACGUCAAAUCAUCACGGCCCUUACGGGUUGGGCUACACACGUGCUACAAUGGUGGUGACAGAGAGUUGCCAACCCGCGAGGGUGAGCUAAUCUUCAAACCCUAUCUCAGUUCGGAUCGGAGUCUGCAACUCGACUCCGUGAAGUUGGAAUCGCUAGUAAUCGCAUAUC
rnacentral:rRNA from 1 species